rnacentral:lncRNA from 10 species
AUUUACAUUUGUUGUUACUGUAUUUUAAUCCUAAAUAGGGGGGAUGAUAAAAUCAAAAGGAGACAAGGAAAAAACAAAGUAUUUAUUGUUAACUAUGACUAUUUCAUCAAAUAUGAUCAUAAUUUAGUUUUUGGCAUACAUUCAAGGGAAUGGAUCUAACCAUAAAUAAAAAGGAAUCCUCUAACCUCUAUGAAUCAAUGUAAGACUAUAUAAUUUUUAAAAAUCUUAUAAAUUCAUGUUGAUUAAAGUUUGAAAGCUAAAAUGCCCUAGAACAUUGAUUUCCAUUCCUUUUGAAUAAUGUCAAAUAUUUUCACAAAGCAAUGCCUUACUACCUCAUCUAAAAUUAUAAUGCUAUUUUAGCUAUUUGUUGAGCAAGAAAAUUCAUAAUGGAAUUCAGUACAGCUUUUUAGUAAAUAUUUAAAUUUAUUUCUUAUUACAGCAAAAACCUAGAGAUUAAAAAAUGGAGUCACAUGGCUAAGCAAGAUGUAUUAUUUAUUCAGUCCAAAGAAAUGCUAUGUUACAUCUGGAUUCAAGGGACUUUGCAGUAAUUCCAAGAGGUAGAAUGUAAGUCCCUGGGGGAAAGAGUCUCCAUGUGUGUUCAGUGUUUUGUGUGUGAUGAAACCUAUAUGUGUUUUCAUUUUCUUUCCUCUAAGAAACUUUUAUAUACAUAUUAACAGUUGCAGAGCGUUAAUGGGAGAAGAGAAAUGAGCAUAAAGUAAAAUGCUAGUAGCAAUGAUUAAUGCAACACUUAUUGUGGCCAAGAAUUUUACAUUUGUUAUCUCAUUUAAGUUUCAUGAAAAUCUCCAUUUACAGAGAAGAAAACUG